rnacentral:misc_RNA from 1 species
GAUGAAGAACGCAGCGAAAUGCGAUAAGUAAUGUGAAUUGCAGAAUUCAGUGAAUCAUCGAAUCUUUGAACGCACAUUGCGCCCCUUGGUAUUCCGAGGGGCAUGCCUGUUCGAGCGUCAUUAUAACCCUCAAGCUCAGCUUGGUGUUGGGGCCUGCUGCACUGGCAGCCCUUAACAUCAGUGGCGGCGCCAUCUGGCUCUAAGCGUAGUAAUUCUUCUCGCUAUGGAGUCCUGGUGGAUGCUUGCCAUCAACCCCCAAUUUUUCUAUGGUUGACCUCGGAUCAGGUAGGGAUACCCGCUGAACUUAAGCAUAUCAAUAGCGGAGGA